rnacentral:rRNA from 1 species
CAAGUAAGACUAGUGUUAUUCAUCUUAAUUAGGUUUAAAGGGUACCUAGACAGUAUUUCUAGCCUCCAAAGGGAACAGAUUUACUAGAGUUUAUGUGAGAGGAAAAUAUUAGAACCAUUGGAGUAGUGAUAAAAAUGUUUUGAUACUAAAUGGGACGGAUAACGGCGAAGGCAAACCUCUAUGUAAUAACUGACGUUGAGGACGAAGGCUUGGGUAGCGAAUAGGAUU